AUUGAACGCUGGCGGCAGGCCUAACACAUGCAAGUCGAGCGAGCGGCGGACGGGUGAGUAAUGUAUGGGGACUGCCCGAUAGAGGGGGAUAACUACUGGAAACGGUGGCUAAUAACGCAUACUAUCGGAUAACCCAUAUGGGAUUAGCUAGUAGGUGGGGUAAAGGCUCACCUGGGCGACGAUCUAUAGCUGGUCUGAGAGGAUGAGCAGCAACACUGGGACUAGGACACGGCCCAGACUCCUACGGAGGCAGCAGGGGGGAACAUUGCACAAGGGGCGCAAGCCUGAUGCAGCCAAGCGGCGUGUAGGAAGAAGGCCUUAGGGUUGUAGAGUACUUUCAGCGGGGAGGCGUUACCCGCAGAAGAAGCACCGGCUAACUCCGUGCCAGCAGCCGCGGUAAUUC
rnacentral:rRNA from 1 species